rnacentral:rRNA from 1 species
GAUGAACGCUGGCGGCGUGCCUAAUACAUGCAAGUCGAGCGAACAGACGAGGAGCUUGCUCCUCUGACGUUAGCGGCGGACGGGUGAGUAACACGUGGAUAACCUACCUAUAAGACUGGGAUAACUUCGGGAAACCGGAGCUAAUACCGGAUAAUAUAUUGAACCGCAUGGUUCAAUAGUGAAAGACGGUUUUGCUGUCACUUAUAGAUGUAUCCGCGCCGCAUUAGCUAGUUGGUAAGGUAACGGCUUACCAAGGCAACGAUGCGUAGCCGACCUGAGAGGGUGAUCGGCCACACUGGAACUGAGACACGGUCCAGACUCCUACGGGAGGCAGCAGUAGGGAAUAUUCCGCAAUGGGCGAAAGCUUGACGGAGCAACGCCGCGUGAGUGAUGAAGGUCUUCGGAUCGUAAAACUCUGUUAUUAGGGAAGAACAAAUGUGUAAGUAACUAUGCACGUCUUGACGGUACCUAAUCAGAAAGCCACGGCUAACUACGUG